rnacentral:rRNA from 1 species
CCCUUAGAUGUUCUGGGCGGCACGCGCGCUACAAUGGUCUUCGCAAACGGAUGCAUUCUCGAAGGAGAAUGCCAAUCUUGGAAUCUAUGCCUUGGUCGGGACAGUUGCUUGCAAUUUUUCGACUCGAACCAGGAAUUCCUUGUAAUCGUGAUUCAUCACAUCACGAUGAAUACGUCCCUGCCCUUUGUACACACCGCCCGUCGCUCCUACCGAUCGAAGAGUUAGGUGAAUUGUUUUGAUCGAUAAGAUUUGACUAUGGUCAACUCUCGUUGUGAAAUUCUGUGAAUCUGACUGUUUAGAGGAAGGAAAAGUCGUAACA